AACGCUGGCGGCAUGCCUAACACAUGCAAGUCGAACGGAACUUGUUGAAUGAAGUUUUCGGAUGGAUUUCAGCAAGUUUAGUGGCGGACGGGUGAGUAACGCGUGAGCAAUCUGCCUUUUAGAGGGGGAUACCUGUUGGAAACGACAGUUAAUACCGCAUAAUAUAAUCGAACCGCAUGAUUUGAUUAUCAAAGAUUUAUCGCUAAAAGAUGAGCUCGCGUCUGAUUAGAUAGUUGGUGAGGUAACGGCUCACCAAGUCAACGAUCAGUAGCCGAACUGAGAGGUUGAUCGGCCACAUUGGGACUGAGACACGGCCCAGACUCCUACGGGAGGCAGCAGUCGGGAAUAUUGCACAAUGGGGGAAACCCUGAUGCAGUGACGCCAUGUAUAGGAAGAAGGUUUUCGGAUUGUAAACUAUUGUCUAUAGGGAAGAAAAAUGACGGUACCUAUGGAGGAAGGUCCGGCUAACUACGUG
rnacentral:rRNA from 1 species